CAAGAACAAAGGAAGAAAAGAAGAGCACAAACCCUAGGUGGAAAAAUUCAAGGGAAAAGUGUGAAAAUUCAAGUAAUCAAGCAAUCAAAGGUAAAAUUUCUUGAUUUUGACUUGCGAUCUACCUUUUCCAUACAUUAUUUUGCAUUUUCCAUGGUUGAAUCACAAGAAAUCAUGAAGGAUUCAUGGCUGACUGAAUUUAGAGAAAGAAGAUUUGAUGGUUGUUUUGGUUAGAUUUUAAGAUAUUCUAGUGUUUUUAGUUAGUUAGUGAUGUGUAGAAUACUGUGUUUAGACGAUAAUCCGAACAAUUUGCAUCCCAUUUCAUACAUUAGUAUUAAAGACUGAAUUGGUUUUAUAACAAUUUAGCAUAAUGUAGUAAAUGGCUUAUUGUGCAUUAUGUCUAGGUGGUGAGCAUUCUGGCAAAAGUAAAGAGAUAGUACCCGAGGAAUCAAGAAUCGGAGUACUUGGAAUUCGACUCCCGAAAUAGUGAGUAACCUUACUAUCAUCUUAAUUAUCUAAAGUAUAUUUUAUUUGAUUUUGUGAAUUUUAUGGAAAAUGAAUUAAAUGAUUAAUUUUUCAGUUUUAUAAACCAAAUGUGAUUUAAUGAAAUGAUUUCAUAAAAUUGUUUUAAAAUUGAAUGAUGGUUUGAAAAUAGAGUAAUUGGAGACUGUUUUUGUAUGUUGUAAAUUCAUGAAUCUAAUUGAUUAGCUUAUGGCAAUAUUGGUAUGAAUGGUUGAUUUGAUAAAUGUGUUGGAAAUGUAUAAAUUGUUGAUUUGCCUUGCAAGGCUGUAAAAUGAAAUAAAAUAUUUGCCAUGUCAUGCUAUUGCAAAUUUUAUUGAAUUGAUGGGUUAUAUAUUGGUCGCUACAGUGGACAGGUUUCGUGGACCAGCCUAUUAGAGGGGCACGGUAACCUUAUUAUAUUCAUACCUCAGUAUGAGAGGCGCGGUUGGAUAACUUUUGAGGUUAAAACUUUAGAGUUCACUUCACGCCAAACCACCACGUGAGGGUGAACUCAGCCAACGCCAAGGAACGACUAUGUUUUCAAAAUAAAAACAAAAUUUAUGCGUACAUAACUUUUUAACAGCCUUGGCAAACUCGGUUGGGAUAGCCCUCGGCCAAGGUAUCCCUAAUAACUGAGUAUGAGAAUGAUUUUGGCACGAGCUAGAGUUUUAAGAAAUUCAUAAGCCAUGUUGAUUACUCGAUUUAUAUGAAUUGAUUUUAUUUGGUUGAAAUGAGUUGAAAGGUGAUGAAUUACAGUAUGUUUGAAUUUAUUUAGCUUUUACGCUACAAAAACUAUUUACCAGUAACUCUAUAAAUAUUAUUUUAUAAGAAAAUAGAAUAUUUUAUUGAAUAUUUUUAUUAUGUUCACAUAGUUAUAAUUUCACUUAAAAUGAAUGUUUUAGACAUCUAAACUUAUUUUUGAUUAUGAAUUUUGUGUUUUAUACUCGUAUGCUACAUUUUUAACUGGUUUCGAAAUUUUUGAAAAAAAUGACCAAAAUACCCUUGUGUAGUUGAAAUUUCUCUUUGACUGUUUUUGAACUGAAAUUGGUUCAUAUCACUUUAAAACAUGAUUUUAGUAACUAAUACUCGCAGGGGAAGCGAGAAAACUAAUGUUAAGCCUUGCGAGGUAUCGAUUGGCAUUCCGGGUAAUGAAUGUCUAUCGGGACAUCGCGACGAUUAUCACGGGCUCGAUGGGAGUUUCGGGUCAUAACAAGUUCUGCCAUGGAUCUUGUGAAAGCAAGCACUAAGUUAUGUGAUUAUAAAAAGAAAGCUGUAAGCUGAGAGUGAUAUUAGUAUUAAUAUUGAAAAGUACUUAAGGAGAAUCUAGUUUCAAGUUUUACAAUUUUAAGUGCAAUUUAUAAAUUGGUUAAGGGAGAAUGAUGUUAUGUUCAUAUGAAAGACUGGAACAAAGGAUGAUUGAAGUUGACCUUGAUAAUGAAGUCAGAUAAUGAAACUUUCCUAAUAUAUUAUGGAAAUUAGAAUUCGAAAAUGCUUGAGGCAUACAUGAUUCAAAUGAGUUUGAGUUUUAAGUGACAAAUCAAUAUCCGAAUGCAAGAAGGAUACAAGGUAAUGUAGAGGCAUGAAAUAUAAUCGAGGAAUAGGGAUGACUCUUAGGAAUUGUGGUAUUGCAUGAGAUGCAAUGAUGAAGUUAAGAAAAUUUUUGAAGUAUCAAUGGGAUUAUAAAGCAUACACGCAUAAUAGAUUAUAAUUCAAUGGAGAUAACAUUGUGAUGCAAUGAUAUAUAGUACAAGAAAACUUAAGCAUAUAAUUGGAAAUGAUAAGAAGAGAGUAUAAGUAUGUAAUGAUGUGAAACUAUGCACAGGCAUGAUGAGAAUUUGUAUGAAUUACGAAAACUAUUCUAUUGAAUCUUGGUUAUGGAUAGGAAUGAACAAAAAGAAAUUAGUCUGAAGGUAUUUGUAAAGAGAGACCCAUAUAUGUCAAGCCUGACUGUAUAAAAUACUUGCCAUGUCAUUCAUGUGAUUGACAAUAUGCUUGCAUACUAGGAAAGCCCCGAAAACUUGUAAAAAGUCGAUAGUGUACUUAAUAGUACAACUAAGUUGAAUUAAGCCUCGAACUAGAUCAAAUGAAGAUUUUAAGGUGAAAUUUAAAAUUUUAAGUUUUCAGAAUAACUUAAAAUGGUGAUUCAGAGUUUGAGAACCGAUUUGGAGUCAAAUUGGAAUUUUCAUGAUCUGGGGGCAAAAUGGUCAUUUCGCCACCUGAGGUUGAGAUGUGAGAGUUAGAUGAAAUUUUUGACUAAGAUUGAUCAUUUGGGGUAUAAUUUGAGUUUGAGAAGUGAAGAAUUUUAAUUUCGGUGUUUUUCGAGGAUAGGGGUAAAAUGGUCAUUUUGCCACCCCAAGGGCAAAAUGGUAAUUUUACACACCCAACACUUGUCAUGCUGAUAGAAUUCAUCCAUUGACUUUUUAUGUUAUGGAUAAGUGAGGUAAUAUAUGUGAUGGAGAUAAAAAGUUUAAAAUUUUAAAGUUUUAAAAAUGGACCAAUAAUAAAAUGACACUUGUCAAGCUUAGAAUAUUUUAUUAUUUCCUUUAAAAAUUAGCCUAUAAACGUCUCACUUCUCUCCAAAUAUUCGGCCAAGCAAGGAAAAGAGGGAAACAAAGAAAGAACAAGUGGAGAAUUUCAAGAGAAAAAGCGUGGAAAAUCAAGGAAAACAAGUGAAAAAGGUAAGAUUUUUCAAUUUAAACUUGAAAUCUAUUUUCCUUAAGCAUUUCUCCUUAUUUUCCAUGGCUAAAUUUCAUGUUUUCAUGGUGAAUUCAUGGCUAGCCGAAUGGGUAUGGAGAGAGAAUGAUGUUGGAUUGAUUUGAUUUCAAGUUACGUUAGUGUUUUUAGUUAGUUUACCAUGUCUAGAAGCAAAACAAUAAGAAAAGAAUUCAUUUUCCCCAUUGCCCAUCAAUGGCCGAACCUACCUUGUAUUGAGUGAGGAUGAAUUUGAUUUUUAUUUUAAGAGAAUUGGUUAGAAAAUGAUGAAUUAUGGUGUGGAAAAGUAGUAGGAAAAAUUACGGUGUUAAUGCACCAUUAUUGACCGAAAACUCUAAGAAGAAAAGUGAAGAUGGUUUUGCCAAAUUUUAGGUUAUUUGACUUAUGUUUGUUGAAUUAAGGUAUUGGAAAAGAAAUGGAGCAAUUUGGAGCUAAAUUGGACGCAUUGGCCAAUUAAUAGGGUGAUAAGACGAAUUAGGCCAAUACCGAGUUUAGAUGGUUACCCGUGCAUUUUACAUUCCAUAUCAUGCAUUAGUAGUCUAAAUUACUUUAAUUUCGAUUUAGUACCAAUGUAGUAAGUUUCUCGAUUUUGUACUAUGUUAAGGUGGUGAGUCCUCUGAUAAAGGCGAGGAAAUUGCAUCCGAGGACCAGUAGUCAGAGUACUUCGAAAAUCCGCACUCUAGACAUUGUGACUAAACUUACUGUCAUUUUAAUUAUCUAGGGUGGCUUUUAGAUGAUUUUAUGAAUUCUAUGGAAAAAUGGAUUUAAAAAGGUAAAUUUUCAUGUUUUAUGAAUAAAUGUGUUUCAAUUAAAUUAAUUUAUAAAUUGUUUUGAAAUUAAUGAUGGUUUUGAAAAAUAAAGUACACGGAGACUGCUAUUUGUUGCAAUUUGAUUGUUUAAAUUGAUUGGCUUAUGAUAAAUCGGGCAUGAUUGGUUGGUUGGCAAUUGUAUUGAAAUACGGAUUGUUUGUUUGCCUUGAAAGGCUGUGUAUUACAAUAAUUACCAUAUCAUGUUAUUGAAUUUUAUUGAUUGGUGGGAUAAUUAUUAGCUUACUGUAGUAGGCGGGUUCCGAGGACCAACCUAUGAGAGGGGCAUGGUAACCCUGUUUAUAUGUGCUCAGCUCGGUUGUAGAGGCGUGUAGGGCAGCUGUUGAGGUGAUAUUUGAGUUCACUUCGCGCCGAACCACCACGUGAUGGUGAACUCAGCGAACGCCAAGGAAUGACUGUGAUGUCCAACGAAAAAUGUGUUUUAUGCGAAAUGUGAAUUUUUAACAACCUUGGCUAUCUUGGUAGGAUGCCUUGGCCAAGGUGUCCCCGAGGAUAGAUUUAUGGCACAAGCCUAGUUUUUAUGAGAUUCAUAAGCCUCGUUACGUAUUUUGAAUGAAAUGUGUUCUAAUGCUAUGACCCAGUUUACGAUGAUUUAUUUUAUUAUCUUCAUGUACUCAACUUUAGAUGUUUAUGAUGAUGUCUGUUUACUCGCUAGGAUUUUAUAAUCUC
rnacentral:lncRNA from 1 species